rnacentral:rRNA from 1 species
AGUGAACGCUGGCGGCAGGCCUAAUACAUGCAAGUCGAACGGAAGCACAGUAAGAGUGUGCCCUUGAGGGUGGCGAGGGGCGGACGGGUGAGGCAUACAUCGGAAUCUACUUUUUCGGGGGGGAUAACGUAGGGACACUUACGCUAAUACCGCAUACGACCUACGGGUGAAAGCAGGAGUUCUUCGGACUUUGCGCGAUUGAAUUAGACGAUGUCGGAUUAGCUAGUUGGCGUGGUAAAGGCACACCAAGGCGACGAUCCGUAGCGGGGCUGAGAGGAUGAUCAGCCACACUGGAACUGAGACACGGUCCAGACUCCUACGGGAGGCAGCAGUGGGGAAUAUUCGACAAUGGGCGCAAGCCUGAUCCAGCCAUGCCGCGUGGGUGAAGAAGGCCUUCGGGUUGUAAAGCUCUUUUGUUGGGAAAGAAAAACAGCAGGUGAAUCCACCGCUGUUCUGACGGUACCCAAAGAAUAAGCACCGGCUAACUUCGUG